rnacentral:rRNA from 1 species
GGCGGCAGGCCUAACACAUGCAAGUCGAGCGGUAGAGAGAAGCUUGCUUCUCUUGAGAGCGGCGGACGGGUGAGUAAUGCCUAGGAAUCUGCCUGGUAGUGGGGGAUAACGUUCGGAAACGGACGCUAAUACCGCAUACGUCCUACGGGAGAAAGCAGGGGACCUUCGGGCCUUGCGCUAUCAGAUGAGCCUAGGUCGGAUUAGCUAGUUGGUGAGGUAAUGGCUCACCAAGGCGACGAUCCGUAACUGGUCUGAGAGGAUGAUCAGUCACACUGGAACUGAGACACGGUCCAGACUCCUACGGGAGGCAGCAGUGGGGAAUAUUGGACAAUGGGCGAAAGCCUGAUCCAGCCAUGCCGCGUGUGUGAAGAAGGUCUUCGGAUUGUAAAGCACUUUAAGUUGGGAGGAAGGGUUGUAGAUUAAUACUCUGCAAUUUUGACGUUACCGACAGAAUAAGCACCGGCUAACUCUGUGCCAGCAGCCGCGGUAAUACAGAGGGUGCAAGCGUUAAUCGGAAUUACUGGGCGUAAAGCGCGCGUAGGUGGUUUGUUAAGUUGGAUGUGAAAUCCCCGGGCUCAACCUGGGAACUGCAUUCAAAACUGACUGACUAGAGUAUGGUAGAGGGUGGUGGAAUUUCCUGUGUAGCGGUGAAAUGCGUAGAUAUAGGAAGGAACACCAGUGGCGAAGGCGACCACCUGGACUAAUACUGACACUGAGGUGCGAAAGCGUG